rnacentral:rRNA from 1 species
UACAGAGGAUGCAAGCGUUAUCCGGAAUGAUUGGGCGUAAAGCGUCUGUAGGUGGCUUUUUAAGUCCGCCGUCAAAUCCCAGGGCUCAACUCUGGACAGGCGGUGGAAACUACCAAGCUGGAGUACGGUAGGGGCAGAGGGAAUUUCCGGUGGAGCGGUGAAAUGCGUAGAGAUCGGAAAGAACAUCGGUGGCGAAGGCGGUCUGCUGGGCCGUUGCUGACGCUGAGGCGCGACAGCGUGGGGAGCAAACAGG